rnacentral:rRNA from 1 species
GGGUCAGUAGGUUGGUCGUGCCACCGGUACGUACUGGUCUCACUGAUUCCUCCUUCCUGAAGAACCGUAAUGCCAUUACUUUGGUGUUGCGGGGAAACAGGACUGUUACUUUGAAAAAAUUAGAGUGUUUAAAGCAAGCUAACGCUUGAAUACAUUAGCAUGGAAUAAUGAAAUAGGACGAUCGAUCCUAUUUUGUUGGUUUCUAGGAUUGACGUA